AUUGAACGCUAGCGGCAUGCCUUACACAUGCAAGUCGAACGGAGUGGCGAACGGGUGAGUAAUGUAUCGGAACGUGCCUAGUAGCGGGGGAUAACUACGCGAAAGCGGAGCUAAUACCGCAUACUAUCAGAGCAGCCGAGAUCGGAUUAGCUAGUUGGUGGGGUAACGGCUUACCAAGGCGACGAUCCGUAGCUGGUUUGAGAGGACGACCAGCCACACUGGAACUGAGACACGGUCCAGACUCCUACGGGAGGAAGCAGUGGGGAAUUUUGGACAAUGGGCGAAAGCCUGAUCCAGCCAUCCCGCGUGUGCGAUGAAGGCCUUCGGGUUGUAAAGCACUUUUAGCAGGAAAGCGGUACCUGCAGAAUAAGCACCGGCUAACUACGUGCCAGCAGCCGCGGUAAUAC
rnacentral:rRNA from 1 species